CCUACGGGAGGCUGCAGUGAGGAAUAUUGGUCAAUGGGCGGGAGCCUGAACCAGCCAAGUCGCGUGAGGGAAGACGGUCCUAUGGAUUGUAAACCUCUUUAGGCGGGGAGCAAUGCCGGGCACGCGUGCCCGGAGGGAGAGUACCCGCAGAAUAAGCAUCGGCAAACUCCGUGCCAGCAGCCGCGGUAAUACGGAGGAUGCGAGCGUUAUCCGGAUUUAUGGGGUUAAAGGGGUGCGUAGGCGGAUUUUUAAGUCAGCGGUAAAAUGUCCGGGCUCAACCCGGGCCGGCCGUUGAAACUGGGGAUCUUGAGUGGGCGAGAAGUAUGCGGAAUGCGUGGUGUAGCGGUGAAAUGCAUAGAUAUCACGCAGAACUCCGAUUGCGAAGGCAGCAUACCGGCGCCCGACUGACGCUGAGGCACGAAAGCGUGGGGAUCGAACAGGAUUAGAUACCCGAGUAGUC
rnacentral:rRNA from 1 species